rnacentral:tRNA from 1 species
GGCGAAAUAGCUCAGCUGGGGAGCGUUAGACUGAAGAUCUGAAGAGGUCCCUGGUUCAAUCCGGGUUUCGGCA